UUAUUUUUCCAAUCAGUUAUGAGAUUCAUGUUCACUGAUGUGAGGUUGUCAAUCUGCCACCAUCCAGAGGAAGUCCUGUGAACACAAACAAACAAACAGAGAAGUCAACUGCAAGACCGGUUUCACCACGUUUAUUUUUUUAUGUUAUCAAUUCACCAUCGCUAAAUUUGCUUCUGAAAUGCAGUACCAUGUUAAAUGCACGUUGUAAAUCUUCCUCAGGCUGACAUCGUUGCUGAUUUGCAAAGGCAAACUCUAGCUAGCACCUAGCUUCAGUCAUUGAAAACAUGGUGGGCAGAGCUAGCUAGAACUAGUGGUUUCCAUGUACCUCUGUAGGCUAUGCCAUUUCAGCACAAACACGGCUGAUAAGACGUGUUUGCAAUGUAUACAGUUAAAAUCCUUCAAUGCUCAGAGACAAAAUGAAAGUAGGUUAAAGCUAGAACUACAUUAAAAGUUCGUUGUCAGGAAGCUUACCUUGCCUGGCUCUGCUGCACUGAAGUUGAACUAGCUCGCGGUGGCGGCGGCGAGUCCUGUUGUUGCUAGGCAACGAAAGUUUGGUUACUGCAGAACAGGAGCGUCCCAAUCAGUAUACUUCUGUACUUCAAGCACACUCGUUCUAGUUGUACGCUGCCCGCUCUGCUUGCAGUAUGGCUCAGAGACGCUGACGUUGUUUAAUUGAGUACCCUGACACACAAGGGUGGAGUUUGAGACGCACCACACAGUGCUUUCGCACGCAGGCAGCAACCAGGGUAACUUUCAAGGACUUCCUCUGGAUGGUGGCAGAUUGACAACCUCACAUCAGUGAACAUGAAUCUCAUAACUGAUUGGAAAAAUAAAUAAAGUUUUGCACACAA